rnacentral:rRNA from 1 species
UACAGAGGGGGCAAGCGUUGUUCGGAAUUACUGGGCGUAAAGGGCGCGUAGGCGGCCUUCUUAGUCGAACGUGAAAUCCCCGGGCUCAACCCGGGAACUGCGUCCGAUACUGGAAGGCUCGAAUCCGGGAGAGGGAUGUGGAAUUCCAGGUGUAGCGGUGAAAUGCGUAGAUAUCUGGAGGAACACCGGUGGCGAAGGCGACAUCCUGGACCGGUAUUGACGCUGAGGCGCGAAAGCCAGGGAGCAACGGG